rnacentral:rRNA from 1 species
UACGUAGGGUGCGAGCGUUGUCCGGAAUUAUUGGGCGUAAAGAGCUCGUAGGCGGUGUGUCACGUCGUUCGUGAAAACCCACAGCUCAACUGUGGGCUUGCGGUCGAUACGGGCAGGCUGGAGUUCGGUAGGGGAGACUGGAAUUCCUGGUGUAGCGGUGGAAUGCGCAGAUAUCAGGAGGAACACCAAUAGCGAAGGCAGCUCGCUGGGACGGUACUGACGCUAAGGCGCGAAAGCGUGGGGAGCGAACGAGG